rnacentral:rRNA from 1 species
UACGGGGGGGGCAAGCGUUGUUCGGAAUUACUGGGCGUAAAGGGCUCGUAGGCGGCCAACUAAGUCGGACGUGAAAUCCCUCGGCUCAACCGGGGAACUGCGUCCGAUACUGGAUGGCUUGAGUUCGGGAGAGGGAUGCGGAAUUCCAGGUGUAGCGGUGAAAUGCGUAGGUAUCUGGAGGAACACCGGUGGCGAAGGCGGCAUCCUGGACCGACACUGACGCUGAGGAGCGAAAGCCAGGGGAGCAAACGGG